CUCUUUUUUACAAAUGUCACAUGUCUCGUGUAUACGAGACACAUCAUAAGUUACUUAAAAAAAUCUAAACAAAUUCUGAUUAGGAUUUUGAGUUAAAUUUAACUCUUUUUAAAUAACACAAAAUUUUGCUAAUGAUUCUUAUUGCAUUCUUGGUUUAAUGUUUUCAGAAAAUUUCAUCUGAUGUUUUCGUGUGACCUACGUGCUUGGGACAACAGAGAUCAAAUGGUCCAAUCCAAUAAUGCAAGCUAUGUCUUUGAAAGCAAAAUUGUUUCUAUUUGCAAGGUUAACAUUUGGCAUUCAAGUCGUAGUACAUCUAAAUAUUGCUGCCUUCCCUAGAUCCAAUUCUUUGCUGUUAUUUAUUUUGAGGACAACUGCAAGACAAUGCUACCACUAAAGUGGCUGUGGUGACCACAACUUGAGUUCUAAUUUAGGGGUAAGAUUGAUUGAUUUGAGGUUUUACUUGCUGUCGCUACAACAUGGUUUAAAAAUAAAAUUUUUCUUUACUUUCUUGUUAA
rnacentral:lncRNA from 1 species